rnacentral:rRNA from 1 species
GCGACUUGCUGGACGAAAACUGACGCUGAGGCGCGAAAGCCAGGGGAGCGAACGGGAUUAGAUACCCCGGUAGUCCUGGCCGUAAACGAUGGGUACUAGGUUUAGAGAGGUAUGGACCCCUUCUGUGCCGGAGUUAACGCAAUAUAGUACCCCGCCUGGGGAGUCCGACCGCAAGGUUGAAACUCAAGGGAAUUGACGGGGGCCCGCACAACGCGGUGGAGUAUGUGGUUUAAUUCGACGCACCGCGAAGAACCUUACCAGGUCUUGACAUUGAUGGACAGAAACCAGAGAUGGUUCCUCUUCUUCGGAAGCCAGAAACCAGUUGGUGCACGGUUGUCGUCAGCUUGUGUCGUGAGAUGUUGGUGUUAAGUCCCGCAACGAGCGCAACCCCUUAUCUUAUGUUGCCAGCACGUAAAGGUGGGAACUCAUGAGAGACUGCCGCAGACAAUGCGGAGGAAGGCGGGGAUGACGUCAAAUCAUCAUGCCCCUUAUGACCUGGGCUACACACGUACUACAAUGGGAGUUAAUAGACGGAAGCGAGAUCGCGAGAUGGAGCAAACCCGAGAAACACUCUCUCAGUUCGGAUCGUAGGCUGCAACUCGCCUACGUGAAGUCGGAAUCUCUAGUAAUCGCAGGUCAGCAUACUGCGGUGAAUACGUUCCCGGGCCUUGUACACACCGCCCGUCACACCCAGAAAGUCGGAAGUGCCCAAAGCCCGGU